CUUGUAAUGUAGUUCAUGAAAAAAUUCAACGAAAAUAUUCAUGGGACGGAGGGAUGAACUGGACGGUUGGAAGGACGGACAGACAGACAGAGGAAAAACAGUAUACCACACUUUUUUGAAGCGGCGGUAUAAUGAUUGGAACAACAUAAAGACUUUACAACAAUAAUAAUAUGAUAUAAUUAUCUUUAUAGCACCAUAAGCCUCAGUCACAAUCUGAGCCAAAACAAAAUAGAAAAAAACCCAACCAUAUUUUUCAAAUAACAGUCAGUAUGAAGACAUGUACUACAUAAUUCAAAAAGAACUAUUUUUUAACAAUACAAUCGUCAGUAUCCCCCAUAAUAGUCAAGUUUUCUUGUGUUAACAUCGAGAUGUGCUAGAAAUGUGCUGAAAGAGUUCCUCCC
rnacentral:lncRNA from 1 species